GUCGGGAUUGGGCCGUGAUUAAGAUUUCGUUAAUCAUAAGCCCAUGAUAAAAACUAUAAAUACAGGUUAAAAAUAUGAGGUAGAUGAUUCACAUUUACUGCACAUUUAUUAUUGUCCUACAUUUGUUAUGGACUAUACACUGACUUGAGCAUCGAAGAACCUUUGGCAAGUAUCCAACCAGACGAUCUUGGGAAGAAGAGUAAAGAGAGUGACCGGACGACAUCAGAAGGACAUGAGAAGAGC
rnacentral:lncRNA from 1 species